UACGUAGGGUGCAAGCGUUAUCCGGAAUCACUGGGCGUAAAGCGUGCGUAGGUGGGAAUUUAAGUGAGAUGUGAAAUCGUGUGGCUCAACCAUAUCGUUGUAUCUCAUACUGGGUUCCUAGAGGACGGCAGAGGCAAGUGGAACUAGCAGUGUAGCAGUGAAAUGCGUAGAUAUUGCUAAGAACACCAAUGGCGAAGGCAGCUCGCUGGGCCACUCCUGACACUGAGGUACGAAAGCGUGGGGAGCGAACAGG
rnacentral:rRNA from 1 species